rnacentral:rRNA from 1 species
AGAUUGAACGCUGGCGGCAUGCCUAACACAUGCAAGUCGAACGGGAGUAGCAAUACUCUAGUGGCGGACGGGUGAGGAAUACGUAGGAAUUUGCCCUUAAGUGGGGGAUAACCCGGGGAAACCCGGAUUAAUACCGCAUGACCUCGAAAGAGCAAAGUGGGGGAUCGCAAGACCUCACGCUUUUGGAGAAGCCUACGUCGGAUUAGCUAGUUGGUGAGGUAAUGGCUCACCAAGGCGACGAUCCGUAACUGGUCUGAGAGGAUGAUCAGUCACACCGGAACUGAGACACGGUCCGGACUCCUACGGGAGGCCAGCAGUGGGGAAUAGUUGGACUAAGUGGGACCGCAAGCCUGA